UCCCUGGUGACUCAGCUGGUAGAGAAUCUGCCUGCAAUUCAGGAGACCUGGGUUCAAUCCCUGGAUUGGGAA
rnacentral:tRNA from 1 species